rnacentral:lncRNA from 1 species
GAAAAUGGUUAGAAUGACCUUACGUUCAGGCUUUCUUUACAUUAAAAGAUAAUCCUUACUUUUGUUCAAAAUGUAAAUGUAAGCCAGCAAAAAAAAAAAAAAAAAAGACACCUCUGGCCCUGAAGGCACAUUCAGAUUCAUCUACUAUUAGCCUGAGAAUGAGGUUUCCAAGGCAACCUUAAUCAAAACCUCAUCCACUGUUACUGAGCCUGAGGUUCCCCCCACUUGCCCUUUGGAGCCUAAGGGCAAGGCUUCUAAACCAGCCAUAACUGAAGCCUCUAUUGGACUAUACUCAUCCUUAGCUGAUUUUCUUCAAGCUUGUCAAGGACAGUAUCAGUUACACGAGGUAAAUGAGCUGGGGCCAUCUCCAAAGAAGAGGAGAAAGAAGAGCACCAACUAG